rnacentral:rRNA from 1 species
UACGUAGGGGGCGAGCGUUGUCCGGAUUUAUUGGGCGUAAAGAGCGUGUAGGCGGCCAGGUAGGUCGGUUGUGAAAACUGGAGGCUUAACCUUCAGACGUCGACCGAAACCAUCUGGCUAGAGUCCGGAAGAGGAGAGUGGAAUUCCUGGUGUAGCGGUGAAAUGCGCAGAUAUCAGGAAGAACACCCGUGGCGAAGGCGGGUCUCUGGGCAAUAACUGACGCUGAGGAGCGAAAGCGUGGGGAGCGAACAGG